UCAAACUUGGUCAUUUAGAGGAAGUAAAAGUCGUAACAAGGUUUCCGUAGGUGAACCUGCGGAAGGAUCAUUCACAAUAAGAGUGUUUAUGGCACUCUUUCAAAAAUCCAUACCCACCUUGUGUGCAAUGUAAAAGAGUUUCUUGUUGUUUGGGGAGGUGAAAGCCUCCUGUGGCUGCAAGGACUUUUUCAUUUCAUAUACACCUUUCUAUAAUUUCCUAUUGUCUGAAGUACUUGGAAUAAACAUAAUUCUAAAAUACAACUUUCAACAACGGAUCUCUUGGCUCUCGCAUCGAUGAAGAACGCAGC
rnacentral:misc_RNA from 1 species